rnacentral:rRNA from 1 species
UAAGACGAACCGAGCGAACGUUGUUCGGAAUCACUGGGCUUAAAGGGCGCGUAGGCGGGUGCUCAAGUCCGGGGUGAAAUCCUCCAGCUCAACUGGAGAACUGCCUCGGAUACUGGGUGCCUCGAGGGUGGUAGGGGUAUGCGGAACUAUCGGUGGAGCGGUGAAAUGCGUUGAUAUCGAUAGGAACUCCGGUGGCGAAGGCGGCAUACUGGACCACUUCUGACGCUGAGGCGCGAAAGCCAGGGGAGCAAACGGGAUUAGAUACCCCGGUAGUCCUGGCCCUAAACGAUGGGUACUAGCUAGUAGGGUUCACAUGGCUUUACUGGCGAAGCAAAAGUGCUAAGUACCCCGCCUGGGGAGUAUGGUCGCAAGGCUG